AAAAACUUUCUUUGCUUGUGAUUUCAAACUUAGACAUGUUUUAAUGAUUAGAAACUUUGGUCUUAUGCCAUUGAAUUUUUAAACUUAUUUUCUUAAAUCAAAUUUGUAAAUAAACUUAAUCAUAUUGACUUAAAUUUCAAAAGACAAAAAGAACUAACAACCUCAUUCAAAUCUUUGGUUUUUAUGCCCUUUUUAUUUAAACUUUUUGUUAAAAUCAAUUCAUCAACUUCUUAG
rnacentral:lncRNA from 1 species